rnacentral:rRNA from 1 species
ACUAUACUGUGAAACUGCGAAUGGCUCAUUAAAUCAGUCAUAAUUUAUUUGAUAGUACCUUUACCUGGAUAACCGUGGUAAUUCUAGAGCUAAUACAUGCUAAAAACCUCGACUUCGGAAGGGGUGUAUUUAUUAGAUAAAAAACCAAUGCCCUUCGGGGCUCCUUGGUGAUUCAUAAUAACUUAACGAAUCGCAUGGCCUUGCGCCGGCGAUGGUUCAUUCAAAUUUCUGCCCUAUCAACUUUCGAUGGUAGAAUAGUGGUCUACCAUGGUUUCAACGGGUAACGGGGAAUUAGGGUUCUAUUCCGGAGAGGGAGCCUGAGAAACGGCUACCACAUCCAAGGAAGGCAGCAGGCGCGCAAAUUACCCAAUCCCGAUACGGGGAGGUAGUGACAAUAAAUACUGAUACAGGGCUCUUUCGGGUCUUGUAAUUGGAAUGAGUACAAUCUAAAUCCCUUAACGAGGAACAAUUGGAGGGCAAGUCUGGUGCCAGCAGCCGCGGUAAUUCCAGCUCCAAUAGCGUAUAUUAAAGUUGUUGCAGUUAAAAAGCUCGUAGUUGAACCUUGGGCCUGACCGAUCUGUCCUCCUAAUCGAGCGCACGGAUUCGGUUGGGCCUUUCCUUCUGGGGAGCCCUAUGCCCUUCACUGGGCGUAGUGGGGAACCAGGACUUUUACCUUGAAAAAAUUAGAGUGUUCAAAGCAGGCAUUUGCUCGAAUACAUUAGCAUGGAAUAAUAGAAUAGGACAUCGGUUCUAUUUUGUUGGUUUCUAGGACCGCUGUAAUGAUUAAUAGGGAUAGUCGGGGGCGUCAGUAUUCAAUUGUCAGAGGUGAAAUUCUUGGAUUUAUUGAAGACUAACUAUUGCGAAAGCAUUCGCCAAGGAUGUUUUCAUUAAUCAGUGAACGAAAGUUAGGGGAUCGAAGACGAUCAGAUACCGUCGUAGUCUUAACCAUAAACUAUGCCGACUAGGGAUCGGACGGUGGUUUUUUAUGCCCCGUUCGGCACCUUACGAGAAAUCAAAGUU